UGUCACCUCAGCUCUCCAGAGUCUAAGGCAUUUGGAAAUGCCACUAGUUCAAGACCAGCUUGGACUGUAGACUGGGAUGUUGUCUAAACACAAAAGGGGGGUAGGGUUGAAUUAGUGUUAUUAGGAAAGGGAAUUUUAGAUCAGACAGAAAAGGACAACUGUGUAAUUACUGUAACUUACAGAUGCAGUGAGGUCAUGCAACUUCAUAAGUUAAGAGUUGAUUGCUGAGGGGUUGGGGAUUUAGCUCAGCGGUAGAGCACUUGCCUAGCAAGCGCAAGGCCCUGGGUUCGGUCCCCCAGCUCCGAAAAAAAGAAAAAAGAAAGAAAAAAGAACACACUAAGCAUGGUUUACGCACACCUGGGAUUCCCACUCAGGAAGAGGAGGCAGGAGCAGAAGUUCAGAGUAAUCCUUAGCCACAAAGCAAGUUGAAGCCAGCCUUUGCUGUAUGAGACACUGUCUUUAAAGGUGGAGCUGGGAGGGGCAGGGGAAUGGACAUGGAGCCCGAUAAACCUAGAGCUGUCUUUUGUUCCAAAACAAUUUGUUUCUGUAACUAGGAAAGGCAGACGGUGAGAGUGAAGUAGUAAGUCAAAGAAGAAGGCGUUGUCUCUCAGUUGCUACCCAGUGUUCCAGCUGUCAAAGGAGCCUGGAUACCAGGAGCUACCUGCUGUAUAGAGGCUGGCCUGGGGCACUUCCUGGGACAUAGAAACCCAGGAGAGGAGCUCAACAGUUGUGUUUCACCCUACCUCUUGAUCUGAGUUUCCCACAGAAAGCCAGCCAGGAUCUUUAGGCCCAUAUGGAGUCCUCAGUGCUUCAGGGAACUCAUUGCUAACAGUUCUAACUACUCAAGACAUUGGAGGGGCUGGGGUUUUAACUCCGUGAACACUUCACUUGCACGUGUAGAGGAUCUGGGUUCAUUCAAUAAAUGAAUAAAUAUAAGAAAGUAAAUAAAUAGCCUUUAAAGAAUUGAAAGGCAACAAGCAUGGUGGCACACACCAUUAAAUCUCGGCUCUUAGGAGGCAGAGACUGAUGGAUCCUGGAGUUCAAAGCCAACCUGAGCAAGUUCUAGGACAGCCAGGUCUACACAGAGAAGCUGGUCAUGAAAAGCCAAAGACCAGGGUCUAAACACCUGGCGUGGCUCUCCAGGUCAGAACACACUCCACUCCUGGGCUAUUCCCAGUCUUGUUUCCACUUAGCAUCCAUAGAAUGUGCUGGAACCUACUACUGUCUAUGCCCCACUGCCACACUUUUAUUGGAAGCUUUACUCUAGGAGCCCUUGGCCAGAGGGCUCCCAGAAAAGAUAGUUACCCUCUCUGUAAUACAUGAAGGGAAGUUGAGAAUCGUCUACUUAGGGUAAGACAUUUUAAACUCCGGGCCUGUGCUCCUCUUUGUUGUUAGCACUCGUCCACGUGUUCUUGAAGAGUGGGGCUGCUCUGCGUCAC
ensembl:lncRNA